UACAGGGGGUGCAAACGUUGCUCGGAAUCAUUGGGCGUAAAGCGCACGUAGGCGGUUCGUUAUGUCGGAUGUGAAAGCCCUUGGCUUAACCGAGGAAGUGCAUCCGAAACUGGCGAGCUAGAGUACUAAAGAGGAUCGCGGAAUUCCCGGUGUAGAGGUGAAAUUCGUAGAUAUCGGGAGGAACACCGGUGGCGAAGGCGGCGAUCUGGGUAGAUACUGACGCUGAUGCACGAAAGCGUGGGGAGCAAACAGG
rnacentral:rRNA from 1 species